rnacentral:rRNA from 1 species
GAUGAACGCUGGCGGCGUGCCUAAUACAUGCAAGUCGAGCGAACGGACGAGAAGCUUGCUUCUCUGAUGUUAGCGGCGGACGGGUGAGUAACACGUGGAUAACCUACCUAUAAGACUGGGAUAACUUCGGGAAACCGGAGCUAAUACCGGAUAAUAUUUUGAACCGCAUGGUUCAAAAGUGAAAGACGGUCUUGCUGUCACUUAUAGAUGGAUCCGCGCUGCAUUAGCUAGUUGGUAAGGUAACGGCUUACCAAGGCAACGAUUCAUAGCCGACCUGAGAGGGUGAUCGGCCACCCUGGAACCUGGACACGGUCCACACCCCCACGGGAGGCAACAGGAGGGAAUCCUCCGCAAUGGGCGAAAGCCUGACGGAGCAACGCCGCGUGAGUGAUGAAGGUCUUCGGAUCGUAAAACUCUGUUAUUAGGGAAGAACAUAUGUGUAAGUAACUGUGCACAUCUUGACGGUACCUAAUCAGAAAGCCACGGCUAACUACGUG